rnacentral:rRNA from 1 species
UGGGGAAUAUUGGACAAUGGGCGCAAGCCUGAUCCAGCCAUGCCGCGUGAGUGAUGAAGGCCCUAGGGUUGUAAAGCUCUUUCACCCACGACGAUAAUGACGGUAGUGGGAGAAGAAGCCCCGGCUAACUUCGUGCCAGCAGCCGCGGUAAUACGAAGGGGGCUAGCGUUGCUCGGAAUCACUGGGCGUAAAGGGCGCGUAGGCGGCCGAUCAAGUCAGGGGUGAAAGCCUGUGGCUCAACCACAGAAUUGCCUUUGAUACUGUUCGGCUCGAGACCGGAAGAGGUUGGUGGAACUGCGAGUGUAGAGGUGAAAUUCGUAGAUAUUCGCAAGAACACCAGUGGCGAAGGCGGCCAACUGGUCCGGUUCUGACGCUGAGGCGCGAAAGCGUGGGGAGCAAACAGG